rnacentral:rRNA from 1 species
AUACGGAAGGUGCAAACGUUGUUCGGUGUCACUGGGCAUAAAGGGCACGUAGGCGGCCAUGUUUGUCGAGGGUGAAAGCCCCUAGCUCACCUAGGGAAUUGCCUUCGAAACGGCAUGGCUUGAGGGUUGGAGGGGAGACCGGAACGUUGCAUGUAACGGUGAAAUGUGUAGAUAUGCAACGGAACGCCGACGGUGAAGACGGGUCUCUGGACAACUCCUGACGCUGAGGUGCGAAAGCGCGGGUAGCGAACGGGAUUAGAAACCCCAGUAGUCC